GACCCAGGCAUCUCUUGUCUUCUUCCAGAAACCAUGACACUAUGGCAGGCCAACUUACUAGCUUUCAAGUAAGGUAACAUCUCAGACCAUCACAGGUUUUGACAGGGGAAACUCUGAAGGACCACAGGAGUUGGAGGUUCCACGUAUCUCUAAGUAGUAACAUACAACGGGUCCAAAACAGAAGAAAGAGAACUCAAGAUUCCCGAGCCACACAGCUGUUGAUUGGAGGCUGACUCAGAGAGACCCUGGAUUCAGUGACAUACAGAGAUAACAGGGACUUAAUCGCCUUCUGGACAAACAUAAUCUAUGCGACCUCCUCCCCAAAAGGUGCCAUAAGCAAAGUGAGCGGUUUGGAGAGAACACUGUACAUGACUUCCUGACUACAAUGGCCUGUGGCUGAUGAAGUACAGCACUUUGGUGGAAACAGGUACAGGAUCAGUAUGGGUUUUAAUUGAGGGGCUCGGCACCAAAUGACAGACUUGACACAUCCACCCCCACCAUGGAUGCUGUCCGUCCACUGUUGCACAAUGUCCUUCAGUGUCUAAUUUACAGAUCCAGCUGUAUUUCCCCUUCCACCUGCAUCCCUGAAGUUCCUCCCACCUGAAAACUUCACCUGACCCAAGAAAGCAAAGGAAAAAACCCGGAGAGCCAGCUCAUGGUCUGGUUCACUGUUUAACAGCCAGAAGCCAGAGCCUGCGUACUAGAAGUGGAUGCCCAGGAAGUACUUGUGAGCUGACUAAGAAUGUAAGAACGCCACCCACUUCAUUCAGGAAAGUGAGGCAGGAUUCCAUGCAGUGUGAAUGACUGCACAUGGAACAAGCAGGUUAUCAUUUAUAUUCAGCAAGGGACCUCCAUGGACAGGACAUUUGGGGAGCUGCUAUCAAACAUCAGAACUUCUGACACUGUGCACACAGUCUUAUAUUGUGCCUUGUCUGUGGUGAUGUCUCACUACAGUAAUGAUUAAGAUGAUGAGCACUUA